GAUGCAUAGCUCCCGAAUCGCCAGCCCACGGGCGCGGCAAACUGCUCCCAUGGCUACGAGGCAGGAGUGACCUUCAAUCCAGCGUUUGUGUUUGGGAAACUUAUUUGGCUGAUUUGAUUGUACCCUCGCAGCUGGUGUUCACGCGCUCAAGAGAUGGGUUCGUUAUCUUAUGUGCAUGUAUGCUGCCUGGCUUUUCUAUGCGCAGGAAUGUAACCACUAAGAAGUGUUGUAAACAAAGUAAGGAGAGAAAUAAAAACCCCAGGAAAAGUUUUCCUGGGAGGCUUUUUGCAAGAGGCUUGUAAAGCUCUCUGGCUACCAACAAACCUGGCGUUCUGUUUCCUUUCCUGUGUCGUCACCACAGCUGGUGACCCCGACGUGAUACCCCUCUACUCACCGGCUGGAUACGCCGAGCGCGCCCGCGGCUGUUUGCCGCCCCUUAUUCGUAGAGAAGUGCUACCCAAAGAUCCUAGCACCCCUGCCAUUUAUUAAAACCAGGAGACUGAGUCUAUGUAAAGUCCAUCAACGAAAGACUGCUUUGGCUCCAUGCUGGAAAGGCCCUUUCCAAGUCCUGUUAACCACCAACACCGCUGUGAAGUGCCAAGGACUGACUGCCUGGACCCAUGCUUUUCACUACAAAAAGACCCCUCCACCUCGGGAGGACUCUUUGACUGAUGAUAAGCCUAUUUCUUCUUCUAGCCCUGCUGUGCCUUCUGGACAGCAGGAAAAAGGAAAAAAAGACAAGGUGAAGUGCUAGUAACCUCUCCCUUGUCCACUGACAGACCUACUGUGCCUCUGAAUUUUUCUAAAAGACACAAAACCAUUACAGGGUGAUGUGCUAGUAACCUCUCCCCUGUAUGAUGCUAAACCACACUGUUUCAGGAAAAGAGAAGAAGGAACACUUGCUUCCUUGAAACCACAAAGUCCAGGAAUUCCUGACUACAAGAGACAUUAAGAACUGACCCUGGUGAAGAAACAAAAAAAUUAUACACUAGCAGGAAGAAACUUGUGGAACCCAUUCUUGAGAAUGUGGUAUUGAUUGGAUUUUGGGGUUUAUUCUACAGGCUGCGCCCUGUGUUUUGAAUAAGUCCUUCAGUAUGUAUUGCCUUCCCUAAUUGGAUUUUAAAUGAUAAGUACCAAAGGCACCUUGUUGCCGUUGCCCCUGCCAUUUCCUCUAUUACACUAUUACCCCUGUAAUACAUCCAAAUACAGACAAUGACCCAGAAGUUGCUAACAGAGAUGGUAUUGAAUAUCACUAAGGCUGGGAAGGCAUUGCAGUGGGAUCUAGCAUGUUCAGAAAUUCAGGAUUUCCUGAAUGACUAGCUAAUGGCCAUUCGAAAUGAUCUAGAGCAUCAGGCUUGGCCCACUGCCCUUACAGACACAUCAGGAGUACCAUCUGAUCUGUGGCCAUGGAGACAUACUUAGAGACUUUCUGGGUAAAAGUGCAAACGUUCUCAGUGCUCCUUCCAAGCAUAUGGACCGGUUGAGGGGGUGUGGCCUCCCACAUACCGAAUCCUGCCGGGUCCAUGGGGAGGAUGCAUGUGGGAUUGGGUAAUUCACCGAGACAUCUGGGAAAUUAGACUACCUGGUAUGCCCAGUUAAUUUUAGUCAGUGCUCCUGGGAUUACACCUGACAGGACACUUACUUUUUCAAGUUAAUGACAGCUGUGUGUAUGUUAAUGACACCACAUUACAAGACAUUUGGGUCCACCUGGCACAAGUAUUAAAUCAAUCUGAUUUCUGCCUGGCCGUUGCCCCGGACAUGCAAGGUCUGUUAAGUACCUGCCUUGUUCCUGUCUGCAAACCACCCAGCAACAUCUGGGGUGUGAGACAGUAAAAGAAAUGUGUUGUUUUAAGCUUACUGAUAAUAGUAAUUGUAUGUAAUAGCAAAUUGAUAUGCUGAAAUGUUAUGCUUAAGCUAUCCGCUAGGAUGUUUUUCCUCCUUGGUGGGAUUAUAUCUAGUCAUAGCCACCCUUAGAGUGGAUAAAAACCCUUUUAUAGUAUGGGGUCCUAGUUUUGAUUUUUGGCGUUUUACUUUGCUGCUUUGUUUAAUGUUUACCCAAUCUAGUGACAUUGUGCAUGCUACCCUGCGAAGGUGCUUUGUUUAAGCACCGCAUCUAUAUAAUAAAACGGGGGAUGUAGGGAUGCAUAGCUCCCGAAUCGCCAGCCCACGGGCGCGGCAAACUGCUCCCAUGGCUACGAGGCAGGAGUGACCUUCAAUCCAGCGUUUGUGUUUGGGAAACUUAUUUGGCUGAUUUGAUUGUACCCUCGCAGCUGGUGUUCACGCGCUCAAGAGAUGGGUUCGUUAUCUUAUGUGCAUGUACACUGCCUGGCUUUUCUAUGCGCAGGAAUGUAACCACUAAGAAGAGUUGUAAACAAAGUAAGGAGAGAAAUAAAAACCCCAGGAAAAGUUUUCCUGGGAGGCUUUUUGCAAGAGGCUUGUAAAGCUCUCUGGCUACCAACAAACCUGGCGUUCUGUUUCCUUUCCUGUGUCGUCACCACAUUACAUUCAAAACAAAAAAGCAGACAUGACAUUGAUCACAGAAGGGAUUAUGGCAGGGCAAGUUCCAAAAAUAAAGCUCAGCUUUUUGGAGUCCUAAAGGACCACCUUCACAGCCAUGACUUUUAUGCCCACACAUCCUACUAUUGCUAUUUCAUAUACAUUUGUACAUAAUUUAAGGCACUACGUAUGCAGACUUCCCUUUUUACAAGGAACAACAUCUGCCAAUUAUACCCGCUGUUACAGAUGAAGGAAACUGAGAUGAAGAGUCCAUUUUCACACAGAGUCAUGGACAGAAUGAGGACUAGAAUAAAUAAAUCCCCAUUUCCAUUUCUGUGUUCUAAACACUUAGCUAUGCUCCCUCUACAAAAAUCCACAGAAUGUUAGAAAACAACCUGCAGGUGCUGUUUAAGGUGUUUGAAUUUGUUCAAGAACGUUUAAAUAAAAUCCAUCCUCGGUUUCUUCAUAAAUGCACCAGCAUAAUUUACAUAGAUAGACCUCAGGUAAGAGACUUUCUAAAAUUCAGAAUAUUGACAGUAAAAUAUAAAUCAGACAGGUUAAAGGAUAGAGUUCAGACAAAUUUCUUUUCUUCAUUUAAUCAGAGCAUGCCAGACUUAUGCGGCAGUACUUAUUGGGACAGCCAAUGCAACACAGCACAAGUCAAGAUUACUGACAGCAGCAGCUGCCACUGCAGCUUCAAAGUCAGGGGACAGUUUUAAAUACAUUUCUAUUAAUUGAAUAUAAUAACUUCACUUAGGAGGAUUUUAUUUACACUUAAUCUUAGAGUAUCCUCAUUACUCGCUCAUGGAUCCUGCGUGCCUGUGAUCCUGGAAUGGAAGGCAAGUGAAAGAGGAAGAAAAUAGGAAAGUAGGAGAGAAGAUAAGAGAUUUAAGGGACGCAAAUAGUGAGCUAGAGGCAAGACAGGAAGAGUUUUUAUGGCUUGAAUACAAGAUUUCUCACAGCAUGAUGCUGAGUAUGGAAGGAGAGUGUUUAGAUAUUCAGCGCUAACUCUUCUUCCUCCUCAAAGAUAAUGCAACAUCAUAAGUAGGCAGUAGGACUGUGCAUACCCAUGUUAGGAAGUUCAGGGUUCCCACAGCAACCAUAAGUCAGCCCCCUUUGUGAAAAUGUAGUAUUCUAUAUGCUGCGUGUAUGACUCACUAUAUCUGUGCAAUGUGGCUGUUACAGUUGCUGUGGGAAAUAAAGCUUUUAAUUUCCUGACAUUAGUGUAUAUUAAUUCUGAUUUGUAACACUGCAUUAACAUUUUUUCCAUUAUUUUUUCUCUUAUUUUAAGAGGCAAGUUGAAAAGAAAAAAAGAAAGAAAAUUCUGUUUCAUUAUGUUUA